GACGAACGCUGGCGGCGUGCUUAACACAUGCAAGUCGAACGGAAAGGCCCUGCUUUUGUGGGGUGCUCGAGUGGCGAACGGGUGAGUAACACGUGAGUAACCUGCCCUUGACUUUGGGAUAACUUCAGGAAACUGGGGCUAAUACCGGAUAGGAGCUCCUGCUGCAUGGUGGGGGUUGGAAAGUUUCGGCGGUUGGGGAUGGACUCGCGGCUUAUCAGCUUGUUGGUGGGGUAGUGGCUUACCAAGGCUUUGACGGGUAGCCGGCCUGAGAGGGUGACCGGCGACAUUGGGACUGAGAUACGGACCAGACUCCUACGGGAGGCAGCAGUGGGGAAUAUUGCACAAUGGGCGGAAGCCUGAUGCAGCAACGCCGCGUGCGGGAUGACGGCCUUCGGGUUGUAAACCGCUUUCGCCUGUGACGAAGCGGGAGUGACGGUAAUGGGUAAAGAAGCACCGGCUAACUACGUG
rnacentral:rRNA from 1 species